rnacentral:tRNA from 1 species
GGUCACGUAGCUUAAUUGGAAAAGCUUUCGGCUUUAGCCGAAGUGUUGAAGGUCCGAGUCCUUCCGUAGACCA